AUUGAACGCUGGCGGCAGGCCUAACACAUGCAAUUCGAACGAGUGGCGGACGGGUGAGUAAUGUCUGGGACUCUUCCUGAUGGAGGGGGAUAACUACUGGAAACUGUAGCUAAUACCGCAUACCAUCAGAUGUGCCCAUAUGGGAUUAGCUUGUUGGUGGGGUAACGGCUCACCAAGGCGACGAUCCCUAGCUGGUCUGAGAGGAUUACCAGCCACACUGGAACUGAGACACGGGCCAGACUCCGACGGGAGGCAGCAGUGGGGAAUAUUGCACAAUGGGCGCAAGCCUGAUGCAGCAAUGCCGCGUGUAUGAAGAAGGCCUUCGGGUUGUAAAGUACUUUCAGCGGGGAGGCGUUACCCGCAGAAGAAGCACCGGCUAACUCCGUGCCAGCCGCCGCGGUAAUAC
rnacentral:rRNA from 1 species